GGUUAAGGAUGCAAAACUUUCACAUCAGGUUACCAAUAUGACUUUCUAAAACAGCGAAAUCCUUGGCAGUAGCCUCUUCCCAUAAAUCAGCAUGUCAAAAGAAACAAUGAAAUAGGGACAAAAAUCACUGAACUUUCUAAGGCAGACUUGGAAAAGAAGUCUCCAAGGCAACCUCAAUACAUCUCAUUCCUUUCCCAUACAUUGAGGGCAAGUACAAAGGGUGGUGGAAUUCCUUCAACCUAGUCAAGAGGCUCAGCAAUCCAGAACGACCCUCAGAGACCCAGAUAAGUGAGUGAAUUAAUGGCCCAUUGUAAAUAUCGCUAUCCUUUGGUCCAACCACCAGAGGUUAUUCUCUGAUGUGAGUAGUAUAAAGAAUUUUUAUUUGGACUGGAAACCAGGAAGCAAAUAAAUAGCAUAGGAGGUCAUUCCAGCUUCCUGACAAUAAUCAGGACGAGAUUGUUUGCUACUGGAAAUCUCAGGGAAACCAGAUCAGCUAUGGGAUGUUUUCAGUUUCAUAGAUUUCAGACAUGCAAGGAGCUUAUACAUCAUCCUGUCCAACCUCCUCAUUUUACCAGGAAGAAACAUGGGCCCAAGAGGACACACUCUAUGAGAUGCUACCUGAUUUUCCCCUCAGCUCUCAAGAAGAGACAACUUUAAAGCACAGUUGAAGAAAUUAACCUGGGUGAGCCCACAGAGUGGAACAUUUGAUGAGCAGGAACCACAAUAGUCACCUUGUGCUCAUUAAGAGGAAAGCCGGAGAGCAGACGCUGACAGGCUGAAGAUGGCAGAAUCCCAAGGUUGUGGGGCCAGCCCAGGAAGUAUCCGACUACCACAAGUGUUCUAGGUUUGGAAAUUGAUGAAUCAUCUUACUGUGCUGGCAGCAUUCAAACUAACUGUGUGCUUGACACAUGGGCGGAAAAGUGGGCUCUUUGAAAUUCGAGCUGAGUACAGAUCAUGUCACCUGCCCCGUGCGUGACCUGUUCCACUUGACAUCUGACCCCCUGUGCCCAACGUCACCUGGAGCCUGAAAUCUGGAAGCAGAAAGUCCUUGACUGGAGUCAGCGGAGAGAAAAUCAUCACCUGCUUGGGCACAAACAUGCCUGGUGACUGCGUCACUGUUUGUUAAGUGGGAUCAGCUAAUAGUUGCACAGCGGGCCUUCAAAGCCCCAUGGUGGGGUGGAUGAAGUUUUGUAAAUGCAUUCCCUGUGCGGAGGCUUGGACUUUGAAUCUCAAGUACACUGGGAGCGUCUGAGCUUGCAACGGGCUCUCUGGUGGACUCUGUGUGGUAAAUGCAGUGACCAAGAACUCACUUCAUUUCUAGCACCCUUUGCCUGGUUCUCUCUCCUCCAGCCACACUCCUGCUGCAGGGUUUUUGCACUUGCUUCAUGGACACCCUCCCUCUGGAUAACUACGUAGCUUGUGGCUAGGUUUCCAUUAGCCACCUACCUACAAAUCACCUCCUUUGAGACAUUCUGGACUGCUCUCUUUCUCCUUACCCUGCCUGUUGUUUUUUUAUACCAACUGAAUCUAUUUAUUUACUUGAUUAGUAGUCUGUAGUGUGUCUUCUCCACCAGAACCUAAGUUCCCUGAGGGCAGAAGUCACAUCUCUUUGAUCCACUGCUCUGGCCCUUGUUCCUACAUAGUAAUAGAAAUGUCUUGAAUAAAUGAAUGUGUGAAGGAACGGUUUCACUUCAUUUUACAAGUAGAAAAACCAAGAAAUAGAGAAAGGAAAUAAACUAGCCAAGUUCAACAGCUCUUUAGCUGCAGAGUUAGUAGUAACACUGAUUUCCUAACUCACAACCCAGUUUGUUUUCUUCCCAUAUGACGCUGUUCUUCAAAUAUUUGGCAAGAAAGUCACCCCUUGACUCAUGAUUUGUUCAUCUAUUUUUAACCAUUUCAGGUCUGUGGAGAUAACUAGAACCUCAUUAGGGAUAAAUGCUUAUUAACUAAGUUCUUAUUGAAUAUCUGUCUUAUAGCUCUUUCAAAGGCCAAGGUGAUUGAAAGUUAUUUAAGCUAUCUAUUAUAUAUUUAAAACAUUUAAUACAGUGAUGAUAAGCAUUUAUUGUAUAAAUAUGGAUAUUCAUAAAGUAUAUGUAUUACAUAUAUAUUUAAUAAUUGGAAUCAUGCUGUAUGCAAAGUUUUGAUGUUACAGUUUAGAAAUGUUCUGAUGUCAUUAAAACUAACAUGGUUUUAGAGACUGCAUAUAUUCCAAUAUUUGGGUAUGUCAUAUUUCAUUUAACCAUUGUCCCACUAUUGGUCAACAUUAUUUCCAUUCUUUUCAUUAUUGGGUUUACAGUUUUUAGUUAUUUUAUAUUUCUAGGUUCAGAAUAUAUAUAUUCUUAACAUUCCAUAUCUGUCAAAACUAUACAGAGAAUGAAUUGUUACAGUCCAAGUUUACUAAAAAUGCUAAAAGUCCUGGGUUGCAACCUCAAAGCUUCUCUUUGAAUCAGUAAACAUUGAAGAUUUCACUUAUUUUUACUUCCUGCAUUUGAGGCUUGGUGUGGAACGUGGAAGCAUGGGGGCAGCAGGCCUGGACAUAUUGGCCAAUUUGAGAGCAAACAGAGUCUUGGGGAAUGUGUUUACACUUCUGUCUGUGUGUGAUUCUGGCCUUGUAGCAAGCAGGAUAAAGAACUAAGCUCACUCUGGUGGCGCCUGCAGACCUCUGAACCUUAAUGACUUAAUGACACUGGUACAAGUUGUACUGGGUUCAAGUCAGCACAACUCUGCCCCAGAGUGAAACACAGCCAGCCUGCAAGCCAGGGCUUUGUCCUGCCACCCGUGACAGUGGGCAAGGGCAGGGCCCCAAAGGGUCUCUCAGUCUGAGAAAGAACCGUGUUCAGAGUGUGGCCUGACCUGGUGGGCUAUUCCAGCCAUAAUUCUGGUUAUGGCCUCACUGCAUACCUGCCAUGCUUGUAAAACUCCAACUGAUGCUACUCUCCCUGUAGCCUUCCAUCAGCGGUAAUUGAUACCAUUGGCUGAACAUCUCGCAUCGGCCAGGCUGCUAUGCCAGGUGCUUUCAACAGGCGGUGUUCUUUAAUUCUCGAAACGCGUCCUGAAGGCAAAUAUUACUGGCUGCGUUUCCAGAUAAAGACAUUGCAAUUCAGAGAGGUUAAGGGAGCUGCCCAAAGGCACACAGAGCUGGGAUAUAAAACU